AUUGAACGCUGGCGGCAGGCCUAACACAUGUAAGUCGAGCGAGCGGCGGACGGGUGAGUAAUGUCUGGGAAACUGCCUGAUGGAGGGGGAUAACUACUGGAAACGGUAGCUAAUACCGCAUACCAUCAGAUGUGCCCAGAUGGGAUUAGCUAGUAGGUGGGGUAACGGCUAACCUAGGGGACGAGCCCUAGCUGGUCUGAGAGGAUGACCAGCAACACUGGAACUGAGACACGGUCCAGAAUCCGACGGGAGGCAGCAGGGGGGAAUAUUGCACAAUGGGCGCAAGCCUGAUGCAGCCAUGCCGCGUGUGUGAAGAAGGCCUUCGGGUUGGAAAGCACUUUCAGCGGGGAGGCGUUACCCGCAGAAGAAGCACCGGCUAACUCCGUGCCAGCAGCCGCGGUAAUUC
rnacentral:rRNA from 1 species